rnacentral:rRNA from 1 species
UUGGAGGGCAAGUCUGGUGCCAGCAGCCGCGGUAAUUCCAGCUCCAAUAGCGUAUAUUAAAGUUGUUGCAGUUAAAAAGCUCGUAGUUGAAUUUCGGGAUUUAUCCGUCGGUCGGGCUUUUGGGUCUGUACUGGCGUGAUGGAUUCCUACCUUCUGAAUAACCGGCAUGUCAUUAAUUUGGUGCGCCGGGGAAGCAGGACUGUUACCUUGAAAAAAUUAGAGUGCUUAAAGCAGGCUUAUGCCUGAAUACAUUAGCAUGGAAUAAUGAAAUAGGACGGCAUGGUUCUAUUUUGUUGGUUUCUAGGAUCACCGUAAUGAUUAAUAGGGAUAGUUGGGGCAUUAGUAUUCAAUUGUCGGAGGUGAAAUUCUUGGAUUUAUUGAAGACUAACUUCUGCGAAAGCAUUUGCCAAGGAUGUUUUCAUUAAUCAAGAACGAAAGUUAGGGGAUCGAAGACGAUCAGAUACCGUCGUAGUCUUAACCAUAAACUAUGCCGACUAGGGAUCGGACGAUGUUAAUUUUUUAAUGACUCGUUCGGCGCCUUACGGGAAAC